GCCUGCCUCUCUUCUCCAAGCAGGGCUCCCAUCUCUUCAGGCUGGGCUAACAUCAUUACACACUCCUGUCAGUUGACCACAGGUAACUGAAAUGUGGGACACUGAAGACAGGAAGGAGGGUCUGCUGUAUGCAGACAUUGUGAUGCUUCUCAUAAGGCCCUCAGAGAUCUUGGGCUUUGCACUCUAUUUUUAACAAUGAGUCAUUUGCCUUGAGAUGCUGUUGGCUGUCCAAACUCAUGAUUUGGAAGAUAUCUCUCCCUGUUUUGAACAAACCAAAACAACAACAACAACAACAACAAAUCCUACAGGUAUCACAGGCAACAUCCAUGUAACUUUCACAACAUAAUUUGCUGCAAAAAUGCAGAGUGUAGUCUGUAUCCCUUCAAGUGCUGUGUGGAGCCUCUGUCAAGAUGCAUCUUUCAUGUUUCCAUAUUAAGUAAACAGUCAUUUUUAGGAGCAACAAGAACCUGCUUUGUUGAUAAUGAAAAAUGAUGCUUGACUACAUUUUAUAGAGGAAUUUUAAUCCAGCAAUAUGUCUGCUCUGGCAAGGAACCACAUCCAAAGAUCCAGGUCUGUGUGAUCUGGGUGGAACACAGACAUGACAUACACCUUUAAUCCCAAACAAUGUAGAGACUAGAAGAUUUCUUAUGUCACUUUUUAUCUGCACCACCACUUUGCCUUUAAAGAAGAUGUAUCCCAAUUUUCAAGACCAGACCUUAUGUACUGUACUGAAGAUUAUCUGUUAGUGACAGCAAACUAUACCACGUCAUAGGAAAAGACUGUUUCAAAUCUCUAAAAUGUCAGGAGCAGAGAAAGUCCUGAGUCUGUGGAGUGAAUAUCUUUUGAUAAAGGUGCAGCCAUGUUAAUGACUUCAAAUUGUUGGGCUCAGAGAGAUGACAAAGCCUUCCAAGGGAACUGAAGGACUGGAUUCCCAAAAGGUUUGGAGUGAUGUUCUUCUGGUAAAUUUACAUAAUAAGCUGCUGCAGAUUGGACUCAAUACAGAUUAAACAAUGCCAAAUGCAAUGGGCCAGAGAGAUGGUUCAAUGAUUAGAAAUGUGUACUACUUUUGCCCAAGACCUGAGAUGGCUUCCCAGCACCUACAUUACAGCGUUGAUCAUUGCCUCUGACCACAGCUCCAGUAGAUCGGGCAUCCUUUUCUGUCAUCUGUGGGCAUGCGUGCUAUGUGCACAUACACAAAGACACACACAAAACGUGCAUAAAUAUUACAAAAAAGACAAUAAACCUUUUAUAAAAUGAAGUACUUUUUGGAACUUAACUCUUUAAAACAAGUAAUGCUGUAUGAAGUGUUGCUGUUUUUGUAAUUCUUAAAGUUCAAAAAGGUGAUUGUAAUUUCACUGUUUGAAUCUCUCAUGCAAAACUGCUGUGUGAAGUGCACAAUAAAGUCCAUCUUAAGGGAUAAUCCAAAUAUGCAUUUUAUUAAAGAAAUAAUCUAU
ensembl:lincRNA